UACGAAGGGGGCUAGCGUUGCUCGGAAUUACUGGGCGUAAAGGGCGCGUAGGCGGCUCGCUAAGUCGGGUGUGAAAACUCUGGGCUCAACCCAGAGCCUGCAUUCGAAACUGACGGGCUAGAGUUCUGGAGGGGAAAGCGGAAUUCCUGGUGUAGCAGUGAAAUGCGUAGAUAUCAGGAGGAACACCGGUGGCGAAGGCGGCUUUCUGGACAGAAACUGACGCUGAUGCGCGAAAGCUAGGGGAGCAAACAGG
rnacentral:rRNA from 1 species